rnacentral:rRNA from 1 species
UACGUAGGGUGCGAGCGUUUGUCCGGAAUUAUUGGGCGUAAAGAGCUUGUAGGCGGUUUGUCGCGUCUGCUGUGAAAAUCCGGGGCUCAACCCCGGACUUGCAGUGGGUACGGGCAGACUAGAGUGUGGUAGGGGAGACUGGAAUUCCUGGUGUAGCGGUGGAAUGCGCAGAUAUCAGGAGGAACACCGAUGGCGAAGGCAGGUCUCUGGGCCACUACUGACGCUGAGAAACGAAAGCUUGGGUAGCGAACGGG